rnacentral:rRNA from 1 species
AUGAACGCUAGCGGCCGGCCUAACCCAUGCAGGUCGAGGGGUAGAAGGAGCUUGCUCCUUUGAGACCGGCGCACGGGUGCGUAACGCGUAUGCAAUCUACCUUGUACAGGGGAAUAGCCCAGAGAAAUUUGGAUUAAUGCCCCAUAGUAUAUAACCUUCGCAUGUUGGUUAUAUUAAAGUUCCAACGGUACAAGAUGAGCAUGCGUCCCAUUAGUUAGUUGGUAAGGUAACGGCUUACCAAGACGAUGAUGGGUAGGGGUCCUGAGAGGGAGAUCCCCCACACUGGUACUGAGACACGGACCAGACUCCUACGGGAGGCAGCAGUGAGGAAUAUUGGUCAAUGGUCGCAAGACUGAACCAGCCAUGCCGCGUGCAGGAAGACGGUCCUAUGGAUUGUAAACUGCUUUUAUACAGGAAGAAACCCUCCCACGUGUGGGAGCUUGACGGUACUGUAGGAAUAAGGAUCGGCUAACUCCGUG